rnacentral:rRNA from 1 species
CUUUCCUUGACGACGACUGGCGCACGGGUGAGUAACGCGUAUCCAACCUUCCCAUGACCACGGGAUAACCCGUUGAAAGACGGCCUAAUACCGUAUGACGUCGUUUGCCGACAUCGAAAGACGACCAAAGGUUUGGCGGUGAUGGAUGGGGAUGCGUCUGAUUAGCUUGUUGGCGGGGUAACGGCCCACCAAGGCUACGAUCAGUAGGGGUUCUGAGAGGAAGGUCCCCCACAUUGGAACUGAGACACGGUCCAAACUCCUACGGGAGGCAGCAGUC